AACGAACGCUGGCGGCAGGCUUAACACAUGCAAGUCGAGCGCCUCGCAAGAGGAGCGGCAGACGGGUGAGUAACACGUGGGAAUCUACCCAUCCCUACGGAACAACUCCGGGAAACUGGAGCUAAUACCGUAUACGCCCUUCGGGGGAAAGAUUUAUCGGGGAUGGAUGAGCCCGCGUUGGAUUAGCUAGUUGGUGGGGUAAAGGCCUACCAAGGCGACGAUCCACAGCUGGUCUGAGAGGAUGAUCAGCCACAUUGGGACUGAGACACGGCCCAAACUCCUACGGGAGGCAGCAGUGGGGAAUAUUGGACAAUGGGCGCAAGCCUGAUCCAGCCAUGCCGCGUGAGUGAUGAAGGCCUUAGGGUUGUAAAGCUCUUUCACCGAUGAAGAUAAUGACGGUAGUCGGAGAAGAGGCCCCGGCUAACUUCGUGCCAGCCGCCGCGGUAAUAC
rnacentral:rRNA from 1 species